ensembl:lncRNA
GCUGCGCACUGUAGAAGCAGGAAGAAGUGCUGUAACAUUUUAAAUACAUUGCAUGCCUGUCCUCUUUGAGAUACAACCAUUAGAAUGGAGGCUGAAACGACAAAGUUGCUUAAUAACGGCUCACGCUGCAUAUUUUUCAAUACAGAUUCAGACGACUAUCGAUGUGUGGUGAUUUUAACGGUGAAGCGAGCAACGGGCACCUUCUCAUUAGUUGGAUGCUUUUUCAUGCUGUUUGUCAUCUGGUUGCUGCGCAGGUAUCAGUCUUUGGCUCAGAAGAUGAUUCUUAGCCUGACAGUAGCAGCCUUCUUUGACAGCGCAGCAUAUGUCAUGGGCGAGUCCCAUCCGGAAGGCUUUCUGUGCGCUUUUCAGGGGCUGUGGCUCACUUACUUUGACUGGUGUGCCCUGGCCUGGGUCUGCCUCAUCACAUUUAACCUCUACCUCAACCUGGUCAGAGAGAUCAGCACCAGCAGAUAUGAGACAUUGUACCAUGUGACCGCCUGGGGGCUGCCUCUCAUCAUGGCUGUCCUGCCCUUGCUGAAGGGCUGCUACGGUCCGGCGGGAGCCUGGUGCUGGAUCACAGACAAUCACGUAGCCUGGAGAUUUGGGAUAUGGUACGUUCCUCUGUUCACCCUCAUCGUCCUGAUGAUCUGCUGCUACGCCAGGAUCAUCUUCGUGGCCAAUCGAAGGAUGCAGUCCUGGCUUGGAACCUUCAACCCUGAGAGGGAGAGACGCAAGGUGUCCUUGGCUGAGGAUAUCAAGCCAUUAAAGUGGUACCCCUCGGUAUAUUUACUGGUGUCUCUCUUCCCCUCAUCAACAGCAAGAUUCAAGUUUCAAAGGGCUUUAUUGUCAUGGAAAAUAAACGUAACGUGGCUAAGGCCCAAACAUAAAACCUUGGCUGUCCGCACCCGUUCAUUCCGGGGGUUGAAUCCGUAAUGAGCAGGGAGGUGAGGCUGCUGGUAGCCUAUGAAUCUUGUGCAGUUCUACGGCUCCUCUUAAACCUCCUGAACUGAACAAGUUCCCCUUCUAAAUGCAGUUCGAAGGCUCCCAGGCGCCUUCCACCCCGUGGAUCCCUCCUUCGCCCUGACACUGCUACACGUGCUGACCGCUCCGCUCCACGGCCUGGCCAACGCGUUCGUCUUCGGGCUGGACAGGGACACCUGGGGCCUGCUCAGCCCCACGGGCAUACAGCUGGCCCUGCGGUCCCGACUGUGUGACAGCACACGUAUCGGGGAGUACCACCCCGGGGCGGUGCGCUACACGCAGGCUGACCUGACGGAGGACGAGGAGGACCUGGACGCCAACGUGCUCUUCUUCUCACCCCACAUGACCCUGAAGGACCGCACGCCCUGAGAGGGGAGGAGGGAGGAGGGAGGGAGGGAGGGAGGGAGAGAGAGAGAG